rnacentral:rRNA from 1 species
AUGAACGCUGGCGGCGUGCCUAAUACAUGCAAGUCGAGCGAACGGACGAGAAGCUUGCUUCUCUGAUGUUAGCGGCGGACGGGUGAGUAACACGUGGAUAACCUACCUAUAAGACUGGGAUAACUUCGGGAAACCGGAGCUAAUACCGGAUAAUAUUUUGAACCGCAUGGUUCAAAAGUGAAAGACGGUCUUGCUGUCACUUAUAGAUGGAUCCGCGCUGCAUUAGCUAGUUGGUAAGGUAACGGCUUACCAAGGCAACGAUGCAUAGCCGACCUGAGAGGGUGAUCGGCCACACUGGAACUGAGACACGGUCCAGACUCCUACGGGAGGCAGCAGUAGGGAAUCUUCCGCAAUGGGCGAAAGCCUGACGGAGCAACGCCGCGUGAGUGAUGAAGGUCUUCGGAUCGUAAAACUCUGUUAUUAGGGAAGAACAUAUGUGUAAGUAACUGUGCACAGCUUGACGGUACCUAAUCAGAAAGCCACGGCUAACUACGUG